rnacentral:rRNA from 1 species
GCCAGACUCCUACGGGAGGCAGCAGUGGGGGAUAUUGCACAAUGGGGGAAACCCUGAUGCAGCGACGCCGCGUGGGCGAAGAAGUAUUUCGGUAUGUAAAGCCCUAUCAGCAGGGAAGAAGAAAUGACGGUACCUGAGUAAGAAGCACCGGCUAAAUACGUGCCAGCAGCCGCGGUAAUACGUAUGGUGCAAGCGUUAUCCGGAUUUACUGGGUGUAAAGGGGGCGCAAACGGCGAUGCAAGCCAGGAGUGAAAGCCCGGGGCCCAACCCCGGGACUGCUCUUGGAACUGCGUGGCUGGAGUGCAGGAGGGGCAGGCGGAAUUCCUGGUGUAGCGGUGAAAUGCGUAGAUAUCAGGAGGAACACCGGUGGCGAAGGCGGCCUGCUGGACUGCAACUGGCGUUGAGGCCCGAAAGCGUGGGGAGCAAACAGGAUUAGAUACCCGGGUAGC